GUUAUUAUUAUUUGUUGGGUUUACGCACUGGUUCGCUGAUUCGCCUAACGAGAGUAAGUUUUAAAAGGUUUUUUCCAUAGUAUUUACUUAUGUUUUGUUAGCUUUAGCUAUCUUGGUUUCUUUUGUUUUCUCUUGGGAUAUUCUUCGGUCUGACGUUUUUGUAAGUGUUUUGUUUUUUGUAAUUGUUUUCGUAUGGUAUAUAAUUUUCAAUGAAAUCUUUAUUGUCCUUUCUAUUGGACAUAUGUAUUUGCUUAUCUAAUAGUUUAGUCAUUACUUUAGUUGUAACUAUGUAUAUCAUACUGCCUAACUCGAGUUCCGCUUAAACUAGAAGAUCUUAGGAAAACAACUUGUAUGUAAAUGUUACGUUUUGCUCAAACUCAACUGGUGUGUGUUAGUUGGGGCUGUUAGUUAGGGUGUAUGUACUGGGCAGAAUAAACAAAACUUACAAGUUUUUAAAUGCGUUUUUAGUUGUUUGUGGUUUUCUCAGAAGUUUGCAGUUCGUUUUGUGAGGAAUUUCCUUUAAUUUCCGAGUCUGCUUCUGUUUUUUCUGCUGUUUAGUUGAGUUUGUUUAGUUUAACUAUGACUUAUGAUUGCCUAAAUGCUAAGAGUUCUUAUGUAUGUACUCGUAUGUAUGGGUGUUCUUGCUGGACAUUUGUGGGGUCUCGGAUGGGUGGGUGGGUCUGCUGUUUUCUUUACACUUAGUCUUAGCUUUGGUAUAAUUAAAUACUUGUUAGUUUUCCCGUUUUGACUUACAUGCGAAAAUUCAAUUCUUUGGUGGCUUCAAUUUGCAAUUUCUGGUUGCUCAAUUUACAUGUUUUUUAUCGUUAUAAUAUCAUCAUAUAGAUGGAUAUAUGUAGAUAUAUUUAUAAAUAUUUAUUUAUGAAUAACAUAACAUGGCAUAAUUAAUAGGUAUUUACAAGGCUUAAAUAUUUAAUUUCUACGUAAGUUUGAAAUGCUCUUUAAUCCCUUAACAAACUUUGAUUCAACUUUGAUGUGUGAGUGAGUGUGUUUGUGUCUGUAUUUACUCGAAUGUAGCAUGUAGAUGAGUGUGUAGUGAUGUGGCGCAACCAAGACGUUAAAAGGGGCUCAGUUUUUAACGUUUUGACCACCCUGAAUAAGUAGUGGGAAAUGAACCGAGGAGAAUCGUAACUCAUAGCACCAUGUUACUUCGUUGUUAGCCAUGUGGAACAAGUACAAUAUGUAUAUAUGUAAAUAACCGAACGAGCAUCAGCUGCAAUGGCAUGUUCUAAACAUAGUUUAUUACAUACACAAAUAUUAAUAUAUCUUGCGUAUUUUACCCUUUGUUAACUACAGUUUAUUUAGCAUAACUUACAUAUGUAUGUACCUAAGAAGACUACUACCAUGCGAAUUUGUGCAGCAUUUUCCAAGUUUAUGUUUUUAUUUUGCUAUGGGAAGAAACCUUUUGAAAUACACACACACUUAUUGAAUAUUUUUUGAACUGCUUGCUAUACAUACAAUUAGUAAAUUAGCCUGCCGCCUCGUAGCAGAUCUGGAGUAACGGCCUGAAUGAGAGGGCUCUGAGAACGCAAAAUGGAGUGAGCGUAAUUGUAGUGGAAGACUUCCGCUUAAAUGUAUGUCGUAUGUUUAACAAUUUACAAGUGUACUUACUUAGGCAUGUUUUACUUUGAUUUAACUAUGUUGUAUGUACUUAUAGAGUUUUCCAUUUGAUUCUCAUUUGCCGCUGGCUUUGAUAUACUCAUCAUCUACCCACAACUCUCCAUUAAAUUGAGCUAUUUUGAGUUAUUUUUGUUGCGUGUGUUUUGUUCAUAUUGGGUAUGAUCUACGCACAACUAGGUGGAAUACGAGUUAAAAUUGUUGCUAUGCAUAUGCUGUUGAAUGAUUAAACGUUUCUAUAACUAUUGGUAACUAGAGAAUUAUGCUAAUUAAAUAGUUUCACUUUUGUCUAGG
rnacentral:lncRNA from 1 species